GCAAACUAGACGGUAACGUUCUUGUAUUUGUUCACUCUUUGACAACACGAACGACGACGCCGAUGAAGGACGAAGCGAGCGACGGCGCAAUUGAAGCACCGCACCAAAACGUCAAUAAAGCUACUCGAAGGACUUUGGUGUGUUUGUAUCCCGGAAAACCAGAGCGUCACAAGGCGGGACAACUUGUAAAGAACUGCAGGCCUCCCUUGCCUCACUUAAGGCGCCGCAACUUUAGCAGGGGAAGCCCGGACUUCCCUGUCCUCAGCCGCUUGGUCCAGCUCUUAGUUCUUCCGGGGGAUCCCGAGGCGUUCCCGCGCCAGCCGUGUCCCGUGUCGCCCCCGGGGUCUCCUCCAGGCGGGACGAGGCCGGCACUCCUCACCGAGGAGGCGUCCUAACCGGAUGCCUGAGCCACUUCUAUAUUGCCAGAAGUAUUCGUUCACCUGCCUUGACUCAGAUAUGAAUUCAAGCGGCAUCCCAUUAUUCGUCCAUUGGGUUUAAUUUGACAUCGGUCCACCGUCUGCAGUUAUAACAGCUUCAACUCUUCUGGGAAGGCUUUCCACAAGGUUUAAGAGUGUGCUUAUGGGCAUUUAUGACCAUUUUUCCUUAAGCGCAUUUGUGAGGUUACGUGUUAGAUGUUGGAUGAGAAGGCCUGGCUCUCAGUCCCUCUGCUCGAAUUCAUCCAAAAGUGUUCUGUAGGGCAGGCCGGUCAAGUUCACCGCAUCAAACUCCGUCAUCCGUGUUUUUAUGAACCUUGAUUUGUGCACUGAUGCACAGUCAUGUUGGAAGAGGAAGGGCCCAUCUCAGCACAGGUCCCACAAAGUUGGACCUGUCCAAAAUAUUCGCCCCUGAGCUCCAGUGAAAGGAACUCUGAAUGUUUCAGCAUACCAAGAGAUUUUGGACAGCCCCCUUCCUGUUCCAACAUGUCUGUGCACCAGUGCACAAAGCAAGGUCUAUAAAGACAUGAAUGAGAGAAUUUGGUGCGGCCGCAACCCGAUAGAACACCUCUGGGUUGAUUUCGAGUGAACAGUGAGCCGGGCUUUCUCGUCCAACGUCAGCGUGUGACCUCACAAAUGCGCUUCUGGCAAGAACGGGAAAAAAAGUUCCAAUAAACUCACUCCUAAACCUUGUUGAGAGCCUUCCCACAAGAGUUGAAGCUGUUACAGCUGCAAAGGGUCGAUCGACAUCAUAUUAAAGCAUAUGGACAUCGAAUGGGAUAUCACUUCAAAUACAGUGUAUCGUGUGUGUGUGCGUGUGUUUAUAUAGAUGUAUUUGUAUUGUUUAUUGUUAUUGUUGUUAUUAUUUUUGUAAUGAUUUUUAUUAUAUUUAUAUAUGUGUUUGUCUAUUAUCUAUCUGUGUAUCUCUCAUGACAGAUGAUCUAGGUUUGGUCAGAAGGGAGGAGUUGGGCUGAAAUACUUUUUUUUUUUUAACAUAACGUUUAUAUCUGUGUAGCCCAACUAUAGUCUCGCACGCACACACACACACACACACACACACACACACACACUGUAUGAGUGAGUCGCAGAUGGAAACCGGUAAUGGGUGGGGUCCCUUCAACAUGCACACCUGUGAUGAAUGAUAAGAUACAGUAACUUCAGGGCUUCGUGCGUGUGUGUGUGCGUGUGUGUGUGUGCGCGUGUGUGUGUAUACUCUUCCUCACGCGGCAUAAAAUACACCCUCCGGCCAUUUCAUUAGGUACACUUAGAGCCCUUGGUCUGUGGUAACCAGAAUAUUAGGAACUUGCACAAGCACAAUCAUAAACAUAGUGAAUGUGUUUCUGACAUUGUCAAUUGAAAAUGAUCGCAUUAUUUAUGUCUUGGACUCCCUGAGUUGGUGUAGCUACGAAAAUGGCCAGCGAGAAUGUUAGGAGAGGAGAGCACAUGUUUUGUAUUGAACAAUCAGAGUCUGCCUGUGCGGCUCCCCAACAACACACAUUUUCUGAUUUGCUGCAAAUAUUUGCAGCGAGCUAAUCUGUGUCGUCGGCAUAUUUGCAAAGUCACACUUGCGAUGCUUCCUCGCGCACACGCACAUGCGUACAUGUACACGCACGCGCAGACACACAUCACAUCAAUAUUUCGUCUGUCAUUUAUCGCAGCGUUAUUGAUUUAUAUCAGCUAAAAAGAAACGUAACUUGUCCCCGUUUUAUAUGAACAGCGCAGACACGAAAACAAAGGAGCAAAGUCGAUGACGCGAAUAAUCUGUAUUGGGAGGUGGUUUCGGCGCCGUAACAAAGGCCUGACGCCAGGGAUCCGUGUGUGAUGACACCAAAGUCAAGUGAUUUUCUCGUUUCUGUCGUCGCUUGAGCUGCUCUCGCCUCUCGUCACCGAAUCCUCUUUUUUUUUUCUCUCUCUCUCUCUUUUCAGGUCCUUAGGAUGUUUGCCUUGACGUCGCUUACGUGACGCACGCUCAAACGGCGCAGAACGCGGCAGCUCGGCUCCAGGCCACUAGCAACUUUUGCGUGUGCGAACACUUGUUUACGUCUGCCAAACACGCAAAAUUGCCGCGCAGUUUUUUGUAUACGUUGCGGAGGAAUAUACACAAAUUCAUUCAUUUAGCACGCGCAAUGUGAUUUGUCGUACCUGAGACGAAUUGCCACGGCUGAUUUUGCAUCUUUAAAUCGUGCGCCUGAAAAACAGGUGCAAAAAAAUGCAGCACCGCUGGGAUGCAGGCAAAAUGAGAACUUUUCCGCUCAUGUAAACAUUUUUGAAAUGCCAGAAACAGAAAUUGUCGUGUCCUAUUGUCCAUUGGGUAAUGUUCCAUUUUGGAGCUUGCCAAUGAUCUAAGAGCUAACUUCAGGAGUCCCGCCAUAUCACCGAUGACAAAACUCCUUUCAAAUCGGUGUUUUUGUGCGUCUGGGUCUUUUCGGUGCACUGUGACAGUUGAUGCUAACCUCUCCCACAGAACUUUUUGGGGUGUGCUGUCCCAAGUUUUAAAGUUGCGCAGAAUGGGCAAAUGCAUCCAUUUGCUACGCCCUUACGACAAGUGCAAUAAGACAGAACGUGGCUUUUAUGCACUUGCUGGCUUCCUUUCUGUAACGCAGUUUGUUUGUCUUCCACUAACACUUCCAAUUCCAUCACUUCAAACUUCAUUUUGCACUGUUGGCGCUCUCCCAAAUGUUCCGUGGUCUCCGUCACUUUUUCAGCUGUUGCCAACAGCGCCUACAGUCCCGCUGAAGCGAGAGAACAAGCAAUUUGACGCAAUCGGCUACUUGUGAAAUUAGCAAAUCGGGCCCUUCGUCGUCUUGACACGGAUGUGGUUAGCGUUAGCUUUGUUGGGGUGUUACCAUUUUUCUUGGAGAGUCACAAACGAAUCUUUGCCAUACAUGCUAAUACACAUGAUACUAUGAAUACUAGUAUAAAUGCUAAUAUACAGCACAUACUACUAUACAUGCUACCACACAUACUACUAUACAUACUGCACAUGCCACUAUGCAUACUACUUCACACACUACUACACUAGAUGUACUGCUAUACAUAAUAGUAUACUGAAUAGAGUAGUACCCAUACUACUGCACAUCCUGCUAAACCAGCUACUAAAUAGCAUAUUUCUAAUACAUCUCAUUAACAUAACGAGUACUUUCUAAUGGUAAAAAGCAAUAUAACGACUAUUGAGCCCGGGCGUUAAUAAACGUCCAAAGUUGUGUUAUGAAAUAUAUACGCGAGCAAUGCGGCGCGCAGGUGCGCCGUCAUAACAGAACCCAGAAAGGCCGAUAAGAACGAAAAGGUUUCCACGAUUGCGGGAGGGACGGAAAGUGGGUCAGCGGGAACGGGAAGUCCAAAGGAAAAACGUCGACUUACGUACACAUUGAAAAGCAGAAAAAAAACAAAAAAAAAAACAGAAGACGAGAAUUGUGUAUUGACACACAAACGUUGCGAGGAGAACGGUGUAGAAGAGUCCAAGUGGCGACCUUUCGGUCACCUUUCCCCCUGCCUGCUGUCAAUCUAUCUAUCCUGCACACACGCGAGCGCACACACAUCUUUGGCGUUUAACGCAAUCACUCCGGUUUGUGUGUGUGUGUGUGUGUCUCUGCGGAACGUUCUUUUUGUAUUUAUUUAUUUAAUUUUUUUUAUCAGGUCUCUCUUUGCCCGACGGGACAAAGUCCAAACGUUUAUCUGAACGUCUGACUGACACGCUAACUCGCCGCGUAUGCGUGUGUGCGCACCGUCCUUUUUAUUUUGGUGUCGAAAUGUCAUUUGAACUGACUUGCUGUUGCUGUGUAACCCUUUUGUGGUUGGUUCGUUUGCGGCGGUGCUACGUACGUGUUUCGGCAAUCAGCGCGACGAACGCUACGUCGCGGCCUAAAUUAGCGAGACUUAGCCAGCCGUUAUUCACCGUUCAAAGGCGACUUAGUCGCUCGAUAAUGAUUAACUGGGUUCGCUCUCGUGCUUUCAUAGCACACAAAAAUACUCAAAAGACCGAUGCGCGGACCAAAGAAGAAACGUUUAGCUACGUACGUCGAGCUUAUUUAGCUAGUUGCUUGGUUGCGUUGUUGGUUGGAUGGUUAGCUGUUUAGUGCAUGGACCUCGGAGGACGACGUCAUAUUUUGAUGCGGAAUUGCUUGAGUUAGUCAGUCCCCAAACAAGAAAUGAUUUGGGGCUUGUUUAGGCCAAGUUAUUAGACAUUACAUUUCGAUGCGGAGUUACUUUGAUUGGUUGGUUGCUUGCUCGCUUAGUCAGGUUAGUUGGUUAGUUAUUCAGCAAAUGGACCAAGGAAGAAGACAUAUUUUGAUGUGGUUAUUUCAGUUAGUUGAUUGAUUGAUUGAUUGAUUGAUUUGUUUGGUUGGUUGCUUGGUUUAUUAUUUAGUGCAUGGACAAAGGAUGAUGAAUUUGUGUCGGUGACUUUUGUCGGUCGAUUGGUAGGUCGGUGGGUCGGUUCAGCGGUUGACUGGGUGGUCACUUGGUCAGUUAGAGGGUCAGGGUUAGUAGGGAGGAUCAAAAAAAGAUGUCUGAUUUUUCAAAAAUCCAGAGCGAAGUUACUUUUUGUAGUUUUCUUGAAUUAGUUUG